rnacentral:lncRNA from 1 species
ACGUUAAAACUUUAGAAUCAGGUGGGAGGUGGUGGUAGUCACAGAACAAAUGGUCAAAACAAAGAUCUUACAAGGUUAGAAGCAUAGGACUUUAUGUUAGGCCAUAUUCACCCCAAUCCUGGGCAUGUGUAGUUUGCUAUUUGGUUUUCCUGGCAAGCCUGAGAAGGUGGUGGUUAUACAUAUACAGUUCCGAGUCUCCAGGUCACACCUAUACCUCUAAGAGGAGCUGUUUAUUUCCCCAUCCCAGUGAACUGGUAACUCAAGUUGGAAACUGUGUCUCAUUCACAAUUACAGAUGACUUAAUAAUAACAACACGUAAAUCCCUAGAAAUAAGACUUCGAAGGAGGAUCAUCACUAUUAUUUACUCUACGCCUGCCCAAGACCUCCCUCAGUUCCUUGUCUGCAGGCCUAAACAUCUGAGCAGAGAAAAUAAAAGCAAAGAGUUCCCUAAAAUGCCACCAUACAGAAGGUUCAGAGAGGCCCCUGCAAUCAAGCACAUCCCUGGCACCUCUUCAGUGGAAGCUCCUCUGACACCCAUCAAGUUGGUCGUCAUUAAUGCCUUAUUAAGAGAAGAAUCUUCUGGAGAAACCCGAGCAUCAAAUGAGCAGGGACACUAAAGACAGUGAAUUCACCAUGGCAUCUAACAUGUGCUCAGCUGGAGGGAACAAGAGCUUGCAAUCAAACUCUCAUAAGUACUGAGGGACCUUGGCUGUUUUACAUAUCAAGAAGCACUGAGGUAAGAUACUAAUUCUAUGACUCUGAUGUCAUCCUUUGGUUUGUCAUGCUCGGGACAUCCUACCACAGGCCUGCA